rnacentral:rRNA from 1 species
CAGCAGCCGCGGGAAUACGGAGGGUGCAAGCGUUAUCCGGAUUUAUUGGGUUUAAAGGGUCCGUAGGCGGAUCUGUAAGUCAGUGGUGAAAUCUCACAGCUUAACUGUGAAACUGCCAUUGAUACUGCAGGUCUUGAGUAAAUUUGAAGUGGCUGGAAUAAGUAGUGUAGCGGUGAAAUGCAUAGAUAUUACUUAGAACACCAAUUGCGAAGGCAGGUCACUAAGAUUUAACUGACGCUGAUGGACGAAAGCGUGGGGAGCGAACAGGAUUAGAGACCCCGUAGUCCCUGUCUCUUAUACA